UUCGCCCCCCCCCUCCCCCCGCCAUUAGCUCGUCUGCAGAAAUCCCUGAGGAUUAACAAAAGACAGUGAGUGAAUGCACCAGGAGGUGUUUUUAAGUGUAGAAGAAGCUCAAGUUCUAAAAGACAGAGCUGUAGCCAGCUGUGGUUUCCUGGGUAAAUUCAGAGUGACAAAACCCGGUGCUUUGGUGUAGGUGAAAAGGCUUGGAAUAAAGUAGGGUAUGAAAAGUAUGUGUAGCAUCCCCUUCACAUCUCCUGCCCAGUGUACUUUCUUGAGUUUUGAGUUCUAUGUCACUUUUUCUGCUCUGCUUGAGCUCGAGUCUGACCUGAUUCCAUAACCCCUCUCCCUUCUCAGGAGGGCGCUGACCUAAGGGGAUAGAUGUGAGUAUCAAGGAGCAAGUACAUGGAGUCAGUUGAAGUGUAGACUGCUCAGGAUGGUUUUCUCCUGUUUUCUGGUAUUGCAGUUAUGUCACUUCAUUCACAUACGAGGAGGUAUCAGCCCUGUUUACUUGCCCGUGGACUACACUCUGCUUUUGACUUCUCAUGAGUUUUUCUUUGGAAAAAAGUUUAAGCAAUCCUUCAGAAGUGUUCUGACAAGAUUCAAGAGUGAGGGUGUUUUCCACCCUCUCAAGAUUGACUUUAGUAACCGUUUAAUGUCACUACUGGACUAUUUGGGCAAGGGACAGUGAUUGAUAUCAACAGAGCUCCACACAAAGGCCAAGUGCCGGUGCUUGCUUUUUCCCCUAAUGUGUGCCAGGCUGGAUGUGACGGCUGGCUCGGACCUUGAAUUUGGUCAAGGAUUUUGCCUCACUAAUAGCUACAUGAUCUAGUUCUUAGAUGUGUCUUACACCGUCACUCUUUUUUUCUUUUAUUGUCUUCUUUUCCCUUCUCUGCCAAAUGCUGUCUGAAAACAUCCCCCCGUGCACAUUUGAAUUUGCUGCUGUGUGCAGGUCAGAGAAUGCCACAGCGCUCUUCUUUUUGGGGGGAACAGUACCUGAUGAAAUGCAAGCAAAUUUAUGACUAACUGUUUCUAGGGUCUGGCACUUACAGACUGGUCUCACAGGUCUUGAAAAAACUGCACUAUAAAGCUCCCGUCCUGCAAAACCAUAUCCACAAGAUCAACUUCCCUUCUAAGCAAGUAGUUCUUCCGGUUUCUUAUGAUAGUACAUGCGUACUCACAAAAUGAGAUAUUCUAUGUAGAUGCUAGUAAAUUGUCAAGGUGUAAAAUAUAUAUAAAAAAAUCUUUAGCUCCUUUGGUUAUGCUAGUUUUUUGGCUGAAACAUCAGAAAGACUGAUAAUUGCCUCAAUUUAGAUUUUAUAAAAAUAGUGUGAUUGAUGGGAAGUCGGUGUAGUAGCUUUACGCGUUAAUGGAAACAUGACUCUGAAAGGUUAUGCUAGAGUGUUAACAGCAGUUAAUAGGAAAAGUACUCUUUUCUUGGGAAGCGGCAGGGUCUUGUCUGCUGGUUUUUAAGAAGAUGAGCUGUCUGUCCAUUGAAUGUAUAUGGAAUUUUUUCUUUAGUCAAAGUGACAAAUAGAUGGUGUGACCUGAUCCUGUAUUUAGAUCCCAAUUGAUCCCUGUUAUGUGACCUAGCCCUGGACUGUGACACUUACAGUUCAGAUAUUAUUUGACAUAUUUGUAUUAAGCUUUGACUGUAACAUGUAUGUGCUUUAUAAAAUAACUUGAACUUUACAUGCAUUUUGUUGUCAAAGCACUCCUUUUAGUGAUUUAGCAAUGAUUCUUUUCUGAAAAGAUUACUUGCAGAAAGGUCAAACACAAGUCUUCAGAAGACUAUGUUCAGCAGAUGGAAUUGUCUAUUCUUUAAAGAAAGAACAGACACUGACCAGUUGAAAUACUAAAAGAAAAAACUUGGGACUGUUUAUAUGAGUAUUAUCUUAACAGCCCAUUUUAAUCAAGAACUUGUGAAAGGAGUCUUGACGGUGUAAAAGUUUAUCCCAUCUGAGACUUACCUAGUCUAAAUGAUUGAUACCAGUUUGCCCGUUUUGUGAAAUGCCGUUGGUGCCGUAGAGAGCUCUCCCUUGGGAGCUGAAUUAAGCUGCAGCUUAAAACCUUUGGGGGAGAAAAUAAAACUGAAAUAUUUCUGUAGGAACUUCCCAGGCAUUAGGUGUCCUGCAACUCUUUAGUAACUCAACAAUUUAUAGGGGUGUUUUAAUAAGAGAUAUAUUAACUUUGCUAUGUAAAUAGUUUUACUUAGUAAAACUACAAAUAAGCAGCUUCUGAAAAGGAUGCAGUCUAAUGCAGGGCAUUAGUGAAAAUAUGUGCAGUUCUGUCUUUCACACUGCUUUCAGAAAUGACUCUUAAAACCAGAAAUGAAUGUACAGCAAAUUGCAUAGAUAACAACUGAAAGGCACUAGUAAUUUUAUCGGUUCAUAGCUGAACAUAUUCCUUGAUUCUGUUCAGUAUAGUUUCUCUAAUAAAGAUUCAGUUGUCUCCUGACCUGGUCAAAUUUACGCUUAGAAAAGCAGCUAUUACGGCAUUACAUAUUAACCACCACUGCAAUACCAAUAUUCCUGGGUAGCUACAUAAUUGGAAAGCACAUGAUUUCUUGUUAAGAAUCAGUUCUCGAAGCACUAAGUACUUCUGGGAAAGUUGUCUUUCUGCAGCUGUUGCUUGUCAGCUUGAAAAGAUCUUUUGCUCAUUACUUUAGAUUUGACUUUAGGCUGCUUGCAGACUUACAGUAUAGUUAGUGAAUGAUUGUAUUACUGGAUACAAUUAGUUGCAAAGUUAUACAUUUUAAUUUUUAUUUUGGAGUAAAACAUAUGUGCUGCAGUCGUCACAAACAGGUGGAACUCUGGAAAGCGUGGCCGCUGUUACUGAUGUGCUUAUUUUUAAGAAGAAAUGUGCUUGGUACUUAAAUUAUUUGCAUUUAACUAUGGGAGAUGGGGAGAAGAAGAGACAGAUUCCCUCCUAUCCCAUCCUCCCUCCAAAAAAAAUCCAAACCACAAGAGGAUCCCUACUUAACUGGGAUUCAGAGUUUACUGUGCACCCAAAACUCCCAUAGAUACUCCGGUCUGGGAAGUUCUAAUCUUCUGUCAUAUUUAAGCAAGACCGCGGGACCUAAUUUUGUCAUUGCACCAGGACACCUAUUGUGCUGAAUUACCGUUGCUGCUUUUUCUGCACAAAUGGUUUGUCCUGUCAUUGGGGUAUGUGCUGAAAUGUCAGUAUGAACUGACACAUGGUUUUUAACACAGAAUUGUAUCUCAGUUCACUCAGAUGUAAUGUACAUAUCUUUUUUUUGUUUGGGGUUUUUUUGGGGUUUUUUUUGGUGAGAAUUCAAGGUAAUUUUGCCAGUAGAGGUUAGGAAAGAAAAAAAAAAAAAAAAGUAUUUCUGGAAAACUAUUAAGAAUUGUGGCAGUGUGUGAAGCUCACAGGAAAAUUUUGUUAUCAAGCUGUGGAAAAGCUUAUUCCUUCAAUAGAAAGUGGUAAUUAUUCUAUCUUCCUGUCCUGCAGUACAGGAAGAUGCCAAUAAAGAUUUUAUCAAGAGCAACAUGCCAAAUAAAGAGAUUUUGAUAAAUCACCGCUGGGAAGGGGGAGUUUCCUAAGAGCAGCACUACCAGUGUUGAGGAGGUGGUGUGGUGUAAAGCAGUAGCGGUGGGAACCUGCCUCCUCGCUCCUGGCUGCCAGGGGCACUGCCCAUGUCCCCAGACACGGGUCCCCCCCAGAGCCCGGUGCCUAGGUUGGUCUUUGCCUGUGCGGGUCAGGCAGCAUGGGGAGGCUUCUGCCCUGCUGGGCUUCCAGCCUGCGAGCCAGCACACUCAGCCUGAGGAGCAAUAAACAGCCCUUGCCACCACCAUCGGGGUUCCCACUGCCCCUCCUGUUAAAGGUCUCUUGUAUUGUAGUUGAAGUUUGAUUUCAGGUGGGAAGGGGGCUGCUAGCUGAGUUCACUGAGGAGCAGGCUUGCUUUCAGAAGCAUGCUCUCAAACAUCUCUCUUUAAAUGAAGCAGAGCAGCCUUUCUCCCGCAGCCCCACUCCCCACUCCCCAGGUGGUGGGACGGCUGCAGGUGGGCACUGGGCACGGAGUGCGGGACGCAGCCCCCUGCUCCCGGCGGUGCUGCGGGUGAGGUGUGGGGUUUCCGGUGGGCACAAGGACCGGGUCUGGUCUCCAUUUGUUGGCACCCAGGCUGUGCCCACCAGCCAGCCUUUACCGUGCCCGUGGGUCACAUCGGCUGCCGUACAUCAGCUCCGUGGCAAUGAGGCGCUGGCGUGGGGCUGUCCUCUUCACUGAGUGGAGGGUUUGAGCCCAUUGUCGUCUGCUUUGGUGCCUUGGGUGAAGCUCUUGAACGUUUCAGCCAGGACAAAUACUGAAAAUCCUGCUUCUGCUUUAGUGAGCCACAGAGGGAAGAAGGUUGUGUGUGUGUGUGUGUGGAGUUGUUCUGUCAGUGCAUUUUGUCUUACUUUUCCUAUUUUAAAAAGUGCAGCUUCAGGGCUGGGGGAGGUUUAGUAGCAGCAAUGGUCUUUGAAGAUACUCACCCAUACUGAAAUUAUGAAAAUUUCAUUGCGUUUCAGGGUCUUGGAUGUACAUUUAGUUUUGGUGUUGUGCUGUUAAGAGUGUUUUUCCCAAAACCAUAAUCAAUUAUGUUUUAUAAUUUGUGUGAAAUUCUGUGUCUUUUAGUGAUGGCCUUUUUUUUUUACAAUGUCACUUAUGCAAGUACGAAAAGGCAUUCAUUGAACUUUUCUUUUUAAUUUUCUCCUCGCCUCUCCUUUAUUGCACAUUAUUUGAGAAAAUUUGAUUGGCAACACCCAUGGCAAACUGUCCCUGAAAUACUACUCCAUUUCUUUCUUUCUUUCCUCUUUGUUUUUGGUUUUUGUUUGGUUGGUUGUUUGGUUGUUGUUUUGUUUUUGUUAAAGAGAACUGGGAGGCUUCCUCCUGGUUUUAAAAGCAGGCAGAUAGUCACUCUGGAAAGUGACAGCAACCUCGGUAGAACCACUGUGUCAGGGAGUAAAAUUAAAUAUCUGCAAUUGCGUAAAACCAGAGUCUACCCAAGGAAUAAGUUUCAGGUCUUAAAUCUUGGAAAUAUAAUGCAAGGUGCUAAUAGUUAUUUUACUUUGCUUUGGAUGUAUAUUUAUAAAUGUAUGUCUCCCAUCACAAUGAUUCUGCUGAAGGGUUUAGGUGUGUUACUAAAUUCAUUGAAAGACAUUUUUUUAUCAGAAAGAUUUUUUAAAUUGUUAUUUUUUAUUUUAAUUUAUUUUUAAAUUUAUUUUACUUUUAUUUAUUUUAGAAAAGGAUAUUCUGUGUCUUUCAUACAUAACAAAAAGAUGACUAAUUUCUCAAAGUGUGAAGACAAACUUAAUUGUGGUAACUUCUGUGAACUUCAAGGUUUUUUUCUUUUGCUAACCAUGCCUUCCCAGUCUUGAAAACUUUUACUUGAUUUGUUUAGUGCACCAAUGUGUUUAAAUCCGUGCACUUAAAAAAUGUUACAAAGCGCACUCUUUAGUACCCAGGAGUUGCAUUUAUACCAAGGAGAUGCAUUCAUUGCAUUGUAGUUAACUAUCUUGAAGAUUAAGACUGUUCUUAAAAAUUAUUUUUUUAAAAAAUCAAUUGAUACAAAGCAGUUGUUUAAAACAGAGAUCACUUAUUGUAAAUGUGGAGUUUGUAGGUCUAAUCCUGCAAGCACGUGCCUGCUUAGCGCUAUGUCUAACUUACAGGCUUACUUUUAAGCAAAAGACUAGUUUGCAGAUUUGAAGAAAAUAGUUUCAGAUUUGCUGAAAAUAGAGUAUCUCCACUUUGAAGCUUUAAGUAAUUUCUAACAUUUAUUUUAGUCUGGAGUUAACCUAAAAUAAUUCCAAACACAUCUCUGUCUUUGCAGAUCCCCAUCACAUAUGUGCCUUUCUCCCUUGUUUGCAGUGAGUGUAAGGUCCAUGCAUUAGAGAGGCAGGGGGCAGUUAAGAAGGAAGCAAAAUUACAAUAUGCUGUGCUAAUGCAAUUUACCCAGUAAACAUCAUUUGGCAAAUCAAAACAGCUGGUGCAUGCUGAGACUUGAAUUCGUUUUUUUACAGGGAAAGUACACUUCAAUAUUAUACAAAGACCUAGCAAAUGUGUUUCAUAAGAACAGUGUGCAGGUACUGAGUCUUUUGUUUUAUCAUAACUGUUUUAAAGGGCUGACUUUGAAGCAGUGGAUGGAUACGUGUGUGCUUGUUCUGUGGUGUUUGAGCCUUUCAGUGUCUUUGAUUUAUGUUCUCUCCUUCGACAGAAGCUAUCUAAGACAGCAAGUGACCUGAAAUGAAAAUGUGUGAAGAGCUAGAAGUUGUUCUAACCUACAAAAGUGGAUCAAAUAACAAUGUAAACUUUAAAACUAAAAAGAAUAUAUGAGUGGUCAGUAAUAGCUUUUUCUAUUGUUUUAAAUUACAUUCAGAAAUUGUUCUCAAAAUAUUCAAGUCACAUAUUUCAAAAUAGUGGUGAAGGACCAAAGCUAAACAUCUUUGUCCUGACUCUUUGCCCUGCACCACAAUUACUACUGUCUAAUUAAUCAGUCUUUAAUAAGCUGUUGUGAUUUCAGAAACGUAUACUAGAUUGCUCUACUUUGCAUUGAAAAUGUAAGUCUCUUUCAAGGUAGAUUCCUAUAAAAAAAAAAAGCAUUUAAUUUUGAAGGAACAAUAGCAAUAGCAGAUGCAGCUAAUGAAGGUUAGUAAUUCAAUAGUAAAGAUUUCCUGACUCAGCAGUUUUUAGCCCCUUCCUCUCCAGAAGUAUUGGAGAAAUAUGAUGUACAUCUCUUAUUUUUUAUCCUUGGAUUAUUUGUUUGAUUUCUGGGCCAUACCAUUUUGAAAGGAAAAAUAUAUUGCUAGUAAUUCACAGGCUGUUUCACAGGCAGAGUUCCAUUUUGCCACCUAUUUGAUGCGUUUUUAUAUGGGCACUGAGAAGCUGUGGCAUUUUCAGUGGGUGUCACACCCAGCGUUGUCUCUUAUCUUGCCUAACCCAGAUGAUACAAUUUAGUGGCUUUUUUCUGUGUAUGGUUAAGAUUAGGGCAUGGCUGUGGGCAAGGCAGCUGGUUAGACUGUGACUGGGACAUUUAAGGAGGUUAAUGGAGGUUGUAGUGGAGGGACAUGGGCCCCUUCGGGAGUGUUAGUCCAUUACUGGGAACCUGGACCCCUAAGUAUGGAGUGGUUUUAUAAGGUGGUAGAUUUGCCAUAUCUUCUUCCAUGGAAGCAGAGUCUUGCAGAUGUCAUGGCAUCAUAUAUGUUGUCUUCAGUUGCUUCUGAGGAACACCCUGGAAAGAGAUCCCUGUGCCAUAAUGUCUGCACAUUUCUGUUAUGAUCCCUUAAGGCAUUCCUGAUACUGCUGGUACACCCACAGUUGGGGUACUCCUGGGUAAAACACCAGUCUCAAAUCUGUGGCAUCCUUCUUGCACUUCUCCUGCCCCAACUCAAUAUUCCCUGUCCCCUCCUCUGAUCCUAAGAGUCUUGUUUGAAUGCAAACAUUAUCCAGUGGUGCUCAUAACACAGCUUGUGAACCUAGGGAAAAGGUCUUCCCCAGUGCUUGCCGGUGCAUAUACUAGUAGGUCAAAACCUGAACCAUCGGCUUCCAUGGGUCUGGAGUGAGACACUCAGGAGCUGUACGAACAGCUUCCUCUAGCCGCAGAUUGUGGGGCACAAGCUAAAACUGCUGUCCUGUCCAUUUCCCUGGCAUGUAAACCUCUCAUCCUCGCUGGGAACAGCUUUUAGGCUAUAAUCAGAACUCCUCACUACUCUUAGUUUGGCAAGCAGAAGACAUGGGAACUUUCUGGGAUUGUGUGUUUCUAGGAAAAGAGGUUCUAGGGAAGUGAGUCUCUAGGGGACAAGAUACAAAGCAGGUACCAAAUGUUCUAAUUCUGGUAAAAGGAAAAAAGCCACAACCUUUACUAUUGUAUAAACGAAGACACCUUGGCCCUUAGCACUUGGAUAAGGUGAGCGGAGAACGUACCCAUACAGAGUAGGACUCACGGUCUCAGUGUGGUACGGAGAACUCCGCUGGCCCCACAGCAGCCGGUGACCAUGAGCCCCCUGGCAGCAGCAGCCCCUCCUGCUGCCUCACCAUAAUUGAGUAAAACAGCAGAAACAAAAUGUGUGCUACAUGUGCAAGCUGCAAAAUUGUUAAAAGGCCAAGUCUGUCUCACAAGCAGUAUUUUAGCUGAUACAGCAGUACAUAUGUGACUGCAAACGUAACAUUAUAAAAACUGAAAUACCAGGAGAGUUUUCCCUUGAAACUGGAUUACUUAAAAGAAUGAUGUGAAGAUAUAAUGGUGCAUGACCACGGCUGUCAUCUCCACCAGUUAGACUCCAUCGCCCAGGGAUUGAUCUCUCUUGGGCUAGGUUGUCAACACGCUUCAGCAUGUGGAUAUUAGUGUGCGUACAGGUUACCAGCAGUUGUCCAGUGUAUGGAAAAUGCCAGCAAUUACCAGCUUUUCCACUUUUUCUCCUUGAAGGAUUGUCAUCCUCUUCCUAUUCUGUCCUUCCUGUUCACAUUGGUUGGAGUCCACGCGAGGAUCAAGGCUGUGUUCCCCAUGUAACAAGUGUCCUGUGUUCAUCUAGAAGCCACCUGAUGAAGGAUCCUACAAUAACCUUUAACCAGGUGCUGGCAUCAGGCUUAAGCUCCUGGAAAUCUGCCUCUCAUUGACUCUGUCAAAAGAUACCCUCUUAGCUAUUGCCCUGCAAAGAAGCCCUCCCCUAUCAGUAACUUUAGGUAGGCAAAUUACCUUAGGAUCCCACCAAGGAAACUUAAGCCUACAGUGACCUUUCAAACUUAUCUAAUUCCAAAAUGGAGAUCUACCAAAGCAGUCAAGAAAUUGCUGUGGCCAGGCCAAUACAGGGCAGUCCCACUAGGGAGGGGGAACAGGAGGACAUCCUCCUGCUCCCUGCCCAGGAGGUGUUUCCAACAUGAGCUUCAGAAUGUGAUCAAGGCAUUUUCCCUGAGACACAUCUGUAGAAAAUCAAAUGGGAUGCCUGCUUCCAUCCCUUGGCUCUCUGAAUUCAGUGGGGUACCUACCUCCCAGGCCCUUCUGGUGCCAAUUAAGUCUGGUUUUCCCCCUUUUCUAGAAGCAUUUCAAAAAGCUUCCAGGUCCAGGGAAGUAAAAAGUGCUCAGGAUUGUCAAGGUUGAAGUCAGUGUCGCAAGCCCUGGAGCACAGCUUGGACGAGUGCCUUAGGAAGAACCAGGGGGAGUAUGCAAAGGCAGGAAAGGGCCAGACCAGCUGGUAAACAAACUUAUUAAUUACUCAGGGAUUCCUUCCCUCCCUUUCCAGCCCUGCACCCAGGGUGUGCACCAGGGAUGCACGCCCUGGUAUACCAGCCUGAGAGCGCCGAGAAGGAGCAGGCUCCACACGAAUGCUAAGGUGGUGGGUCUUCACAGGGAGCUGGGGUGUGACAACCUUCCCUUCCCAGGUUGUCUGCAUGGUCUAUGGGCACAGGGGAGUAGAAGGCUGCAGCAUUUUGCUCUUCCCUCUAGAAACACGUUGUAAGAAUACUUUGUGGUUAUCUUGGCCCACCACAGAUAGGAACUGAAGAUCCUCAAUAUGGCAGACUGGUAUUUCUUUUAAAAUAGUGUUUAAAAAAAACCCCAAAUAACACAAAGGUGAAGUGGGUGUGCCAUUCCCUGUGCCAUGCUAAUUAUCAAAAUUCUGGAGAUUGUCUUUAAAUAAACUCAAGGACUAGCCCUUUUCUUUUUCCCUAUCAGCUCUCCUAGCUGUCCCAAGGAAGCCUGCCAGAAUGAAACCAGCCUGGUGAUAAACUUCUGCAGAGGUAGCCUGACACACAGUGUCUCUGUAAUUAGCGCUGAAGAGUAAGGAGACAAAACAGAUGUACACAACACAGGUAUUCAAAACCUUCGGAAGAGCUGGGGAACCAAACCCAAAACCUGACCUGCCUCCCAAACCACCGCGCGGGUUCCCAUCCCUCUCUGAGUCCUGGAUCCAGGGGAAGCCGAUCUUGCUGGGGAUGGAGAUGGCCAGCCCACCUGCCUGGACAGGCAUGGGAUGCCAAGGGGGAAGAGCAGCCUGGGACCUGCAGAGCUGCCACGGCGAGGCCACCAGCCAAUGGGGUGCCACCAGCCCCUGUGGGGCACCAGGAUGAGCAGAGCCUGCUAGCAAGCACCGAAACAGAGGCCAACACCUAACCCAAAAAGCUGUCUGCAUUUUAAAAAUACUCUAAAGGAAAUCCAUUCCUUCCUGGAGCAGCCUGAGCCGUUCCCGCUCAGCUAAUGCAUGAACUGGAGGCUGAACCUAUGUCCCCUGGGCCACAUGCUGACACUUCAACACACACUCCCCGUUCUGUUGUUCCCUCUGCACACAGACGAGGGCUAGAAAAUCAGCAACCUUAGAAAACUCGCCUUCUGGUGACACGGAAUCCACUGGGCACUGGAAAGGAGAGACCAAGCUUACCAUAUGUAGCAUCAGCACAACCACCAGAGAUUUCCUACUGCUGAAGGUCCAAGAUACUUUCAUCCCACUACUGCUACACGAGUCGGCCAGAGCCCCAGCCUGGAGCACAAUUACACAGCACCUUGCAGAUGCUGGUGUUGCUAAUAGGUGUGAGUAAUUCAGCAGGCUCGUAUUAGCACGAUCAGGCAGAUCCCUGGUAGAAAUGAUAAUCACACGUAUGUCACUUCAUCGAGCUAAGGAGCUUGGCAAAUCUCCGCACAAGGCUGGGUGUCUAGAACAGCAGCCACGCUGAAUACCAAUUUCAUUCUGAGGCAAAAGAAGAGGGGACCUGGCAAGUCCUGCUCUUUCUCUUGCACCCAGUAGUUCUCAUAUUAUGACUUUCUGAUGUUGCACCCAACGCAAGAGGCUGGGGAGAAAGCUGCCCCUCUUCCCAGGCCACUGCCCCCAGCAAAGCCUUCUCCUUCCUCUGUUCAAUCCUCUUCUGCACCCUGAUACUUCACCAAAACUCAUCACCUCUGUCUGCCACCAGGAAACUGAGUCACAGCAGCUGCAGGGAGGGACACCCGAGCGAAGAGAGACCAGGGCCACCACACUCCCGCUCAGUGAGCGCUGCCCUUUGCCUCUCUGCACAGGGGGAGGAUGACGAUGACUUCCUGCCUCUUCCUCCUCCCAGCAAGCCCCCUGCCUGCCUCUCAAGCGGUCAGUCUGAUCAUUUGGAGUCUCUCCGCUGCGUAAACCCUGCACUGAUACAAAACUUAGCAAUAACACAGUGCUUCUGGGCCAGAUGUAGUUAAUUAAAAAUGUCAUUAAGCCACCAGAAAUGAUAAAAAAAACCCCACUUAACCCUCUUCACCUGCAGAUGGUUGGGCUACAACAUAAAGACUUGGACAGGGAAAGCCAACCGGGGCUGAAACCUCUGCAGCCCUGCCCUUGUGGCAGGAUCCUUCCCUCUCCGCAAAUUCAGCAUCCUGGAGCAGAAUGUGUAUCAGCAAGUUUGUAUUUAGAGCCCUUCACAAAGCAGAGAAGCUUGAUUUUUGAGGUGGCAAUAAGCUUUCCAUCUGCUCCAAAAAGCAUUUCUGAGACUCUGUGGGCACUGCAAUCCACUGGAAUUAAGAGGUGACAAAAGAGUGGGUGUUUGAGGGGAAAGCAAACCAGCAUCUGGCUUGGAGAUCCAUGGAGAGCAUGGUCCAGGGAAAAAAGGAGGAGAAGCACUUAUGGGUGUUCAGAGGUACAAAAACUCUGUCGGCAGGAAGAUGAUGUGCAAGGAAAAGGGACAGAGGCUAUGAAAGCAAAUCUGCAGCUGGGAUUCCAAAACCAAAGCAGCUUAAAAAUAGGCAGCAGAGACAGAAAAGGUGUAUUAGAUCAUCUUGUGUUCUCCCCCAUUGUGCCAACACAAGAUUGUUCCCUGCAAAAUAUUCUCUGCUGCUUCCAUAAAUGUCAGCUAGGAGUGAGCAUGUAGUAAAGAUUAUUCAGAGGGGAUUGGGAAGGGGAAGAGGAUUAUGCACUGGCAGAAAGGAGCUAUGGGAAAUGUCAUUUGUUAACCUAGACAGUGUGUUGAUGGACACCCCAAUUCCCCUCCUCCUGCCACUGCUGGCUGUGUAAGCAAUUUAUGUAUAGUGUUACGAAUCGAGUCCUCCAACCUCUGCCACACGCUUCUGGCCACCAGAAAGGAUGAGGAAUGGAGUACGGCCCAAAACAAAAGGAUGCCAGUUGGCUUUGAGAACAAUGUGAAGGGGAAGGAAAAAAUAAAAUAAAAUUUAAAAAAAUAGACAUUUGGAUUUUAUGUAGCUGAAGCAGGCAAGAAAAGCGCAGCCAGCCCUGGCUGUCAGCUGCUGGAGGCCGCGGGGGGGAGCUGCUCCACCAUGAAUUCUCCUACAGCUCCCACCCGCUGCUGCUCACUCGCCUCCCGCAUCCCUCUCAAGGCACCUGAUAACCAUGGGGCAGUAUUAAGAUUCCUGAUGUAGAUAUGGGGAAGCAGUGAGAGGAGGGUGACUUUCCCAAAGGGGCUGUUUCAGCCUCUGGAUCUAACACCACCAGCGAGCUGUCCUCCUCCCUGGAGAGCCAGGCUUUUCCAGAGGGACACUGAGCUCCAAGAUCCUGACCAAGCUGCUCUCUGUGUGGUCAGUGGACACACACCCCCCAGCUCCACAGGGGAAACUGGAGCACGAGCCUUCUGAAAUGCUUUGAAUUGGCCCCCAAAUUCUUUCUCUGGUGGUGACUGCUGUGGAUUGGCACCACGAUGGAGCUCCGGGCAUGGAAUGCCUUCAGCUGAACCAGAAUGGCACAGGGUGGGUUUAGUGCUUCUCAUGUAGCUCCCCAUGGCAAAUCCCCUUCCCACACCAGUCCACCCCACGGCACAGCCCUGGUGUGCUCAGCAACACCACAGGACCCCCCCCACAUUCCCAGGCUAUGUGGGUGGUCUGGCUCUGACUCCCUCCCCGGUGGCCUGGGAACUGGUGCUCAGGGACUCGUUUCUGCUUUGAAUCACCGCUGUCAGGUCAUCCCUUAUCCAAGAGCAUCCUCUCCCAACCUCCCCACACACCUUCUCUCUAUCUCCUCCCCACCUCCAUGUUUAAAAUCCCCACACACCAUCACAGCUUUUGGAAGGAAACAGAUUUUGGAGCUGAAUACCAGUCUCAGAUGGCAUUCCAGCAUACCAGGGCAAUAAAAACUUAGCUGCAUUUGUACCUAUUCUUGAUUACACCAUUUUCCUCAAAAAAGAUGAACUACAUCAGAGAAUUCCUCGCACUGGGCUAAGGAUUCAGGAGGCACAGUUGCCAUGACAGCCUGUUGUGCUGUUCAUCUGCUCAUUCCAGCACUCUGUGUUUGCACCUGUCUGUUAUCACAGAGGCUCCAUCGCUAUCUGAGGUUGUGGCCAGUUUCCCAGUUCACCCUUGCCAACAGGACUGGGUAGCAGGGCCUUGGUUUACUGCGUUCCACUCACCUUUAAAUAAAUACAAGCCUUGGGAGGGCUCCAAAUGGAUAUAAGCACCCGCAGCACAAAACCACCCUUCAGCAGCAGGACUGUUUGCACCCUUGUGCAAUUUCCAAAGCAACUAAGUGAUUUGGGAGCACAGAAAGGAUUUUUUCAAGGCUCUUUGGUGCCUCCCACACUAAAUAACCUUGUUUUUCUUUACAGCUUGGACCGGACAACAAUGCAGACAGUGCAAUGAGGUUUUGCCUGUGCUGUCUGUUUUCUGGCUAGUUUCCAGGGAAGUCAAUGCAGUAUCAAUCCCCUGUGCUUGGUCCCCUUGGAACAUGGAUGAAUGUUCAAAGGCAUUGAAAGGCUUCAUCAGAAUAAAGAUGGGCAUUUCAUCCACAUAAAGGAACAGGGUUUAUUGGUGGGUUGAGGAAGAGGUGCAAUCAGAAAGGGAACACAGUGAGGGAGAUGAAACAGUGCCGAAGCAAAGGCCCCCAGGGCACGCUGCCCUGUCUUCCCCUCCACUCCCACGCCUGGAAGGAGCCCUGUGCUAAGUAUGAUAUGUCAUAAAGAUUAUGGUUAAUUAGGAGGAAAUGUGGAAAGAACAACUACAUGCCUAAAGCUUAUAUGAAGCCAACAGAAACGGGGCACCACCUGAAUCUCAAGACAUUUCUCAUCCCCUGUUGAGAGAUGCAGACCUGAAAGGCCACUUCCAGAAACACCAAAGGAAAUUUCAGUUACAAAAGCCCAGCAGGACCCAUGCUCCUGCCAGUUUUUCCAGAUUCUUCCAGGCAAUGGCUUCUCCUGUCCUUAACCAAGGCUUGGCUGUGUCUUGACUGGGAGUUCCAACACUUCUACAGCAGCUGCCUUUACACAGCUAAUUUUUUUCUCUCCCAUCCCGAGCGCUCCCAGUUACUCCCUUCCCUCCCUGCCCACCUAUUCCCAAGGACAUGGAUAGGAGAGGAGCACCCCUCCCUGCCUGCCUGCAGCUCCAAUCCUGCUCCAGUUCCCUGUUGAGAACAAUUACAGUCAGUUUUUAUUUUUACCACGUUUUCCUCAGUCCUUCCCAGGACUUCCCGGAUUCUCAUAACGCUCUGUCUGCCCGCUCUUACCUUGGCACAGAGGGAUCGCUUCGUUCCAGUGGAAGUAGCCCUGCGGGUGCUGGGAGCAGGUGGUGGUGCUGUGGGCAACGAGACGGUAGCCCGCGUUGCAGCCGAAGCGGAGCGUGCUGCCAGGGUGCAGACCCGUCUGGCUGAGGAUCAGCCCGUGGGCCGGUGGCUGCAGGAGGCUACAGUAAGGAGCUGGGAAGAAAGGGCAGAAGCGAAUAAAUCAGUCACUGGAUGGGCAACGUCUAGAGAAAUUCUCUUCCUAUUCUCGGGAAUGACAGCGCACUUCCCAUAACCUAAGGCUGUAUGAGAACUUGUGAUGGAUAAAUAAAAACUCAAAGGGGGGAAAGAACACAGGGCUAGCGUCCAAGUUUCACUCAGCUCUAGAAAUAAAGACUCAUUUCUGAUAAUUAAAUAUUACCUAAUUCA